rnacentral:lncRNA from 1 species
AAAAUAAAAUAAUACAUUUCAACAGUUCUAGAGAAACAUCAAUAACUCAUGUAAAAUUUUUCAUCUAUUAGUUGAAGAAGAAAAUAGUGUGUAUACUAUCUCCAAUAAUUCAUGUUAGCAAUAUGUUCACGACUUGUCUUGUGAUUUCUCAAUUUAUAACUAAUAUUUCUCAUUUGGGCAAUGUGCUCACUUUUUGUCUCGUAAUUUCUCAAUUUAUAAUUAAUAUUUCUCUCAUCCUUAGUAUUUUCGUUAGC